rnacentral:tRNA from 1 species
GGGCCAGUGGCACAAUGGGCAAUGCGCAUGACUACGGAUCAGGAUAUUGCAGGUUCAACUCCUGCCUGGCUCA